rnacentral:rRNA from 1 species
CCUACGGGAGGCAGCAGUGGGGGAUAUUGGUCAAUGGGGGAAACCCUGAUCCAGCGACGUCGCGUGAGUGAAGAAGUAUUUACGUAUGUAAAGCUCUAUCAGCAGGGAAGAAAGAAAUGACGGUACCUGAGUAAGAAGCCUCGGCUAACUACGUGCCAGCAGCCGCUGUAAUACGUCGGGGGCAAGCGUUAUACGGAAUUAAUGGGUGUAAAGGGAGCGUAGACGGGAAUGCAAGUCUGGAGUGAAAGGCGGGGGCCCAACCCCCGGACUGCUCUGGAAACUGGGUAACUGGAGUGCAGGAGAGGCAGGCGGAAUUCCUGGUGUAGCGGUGAAAUGCGUAGAUAUUAGGAGGAACACCAGUGGCGAAGGCGGCCUGCUGGACUGUAACUGACGUUGAGGCUCGAAAGCGUGGGGAGCAAACAGGAUUAGAUACCCGAGUAGUC